rnacentral:rRNA from 1 species
GAUGAACGCUGGCGGCGUGCUUAACACAUGCAAGUCGAACGGAAAGGCUCCUGCUUGCAGGGGUACUCGAGUGGCGAACGGGUGAGUAACACGUGGGUGAUCUGCCCUGCACUUCGGGAUAAGCCUGGGAAACUGGGUCUAAUACCGGAUAGGACGAUGGUCUGGAUGCCAUUGUGGAAAGUUUUUCGGUGUGGGAUGAGCUCGCGGCCUAUCAGCUUGUUGGUGGGGUAAUGGCCUACCAAGGCGUCGACGGGUAGCCGGCCUGAGAGGGUGUACGGCCACAUUGGGACUGAGAUACGGCCCAGACUCCUACGGGAGGCAGCAGUGGGGAAUAUUGCACAAUGGGCGCAAGCCUGAUGCAGCGACGCCGCGUGGGGGAUGACGGCCUUCGGGUUGUAAACUCCUUUCGCUAGGGACGAAGCGCAAGUGACGGUACCUGGAGAAGAAGCACCGGCUAACUACGUG